CUCUUGACCAGUUUGAAGAAGAUAGUCUAGCAGGAAAGAAGCGACUAAAGCCAGCUGCAGUUCCCAGCAUUUUCUGUGCUCACCAGUGUGCCAUAGUAUCUGACAAUAGCAGAUCAUGAUUGGCUCCUGACAAAAGUGAAGAAGCAGGGUUAUCACCAUCAAAGCUAGGUAACUAUCUAAUGAAGUUCACAAUUUAUCAAGAUUAUUGUUAU